rnacentral:rRNA from 1 species
UACGUAGGAGGCGAGCGUUGUCCGGAAUUACUGGGCGUAAAGAGCGCGUAGGCGGCGCUGUACGACCCGUGUGAAAUCCCCCGGCUCAACCGGGGAACGGCUGGGUAUACUGGCGGUCUUGAGCCAUCCAGGGGCAGUCGGAACAGACGGUAGAGCGGUGAAAUGCGUAGAUAUCGUCUGGAACGCCGAAGGUGAAAACAGACUGCUGGGGAUGCGCUGACGCUGAGACACGAAAGCCAGGGGAGCGAACGGG